GUGGAGUUUACAUAUGGUCUGCCUUUAAAAAGGAACAGCUCACUGUCUAGAAAUAAGAAUGCAUUAAUUAUUGAUGAUUGAUUACAGAGGAACUUACUGUGUUUUAACUUACUGGAUUUUAACUAAUACUAGACAUCUGACAUCUAAGUGCUUAAUGUUCAGUAAGAUGAGUCUUAACAGAAAUGACGACCUGUUAAAAGUGCUUGUUAAAAUGGAAAUGAACAAUAGGCUUUUCUUUGCCUUCUUUUCAUGAUGUACUUGACAUCUGGGGAAUUUACAGUACUUUCUCUGUGCUUACAAAGAAGAGUACAGCUCUGACUGAAUGUAACCUGUAACAUUUAUCUGUUCUAUGGAAGUAGCUUUUUAUUUCAAGUGUUGCUUUGAAUAAUUUAGAUUUAUCUUUACUCCUGAAUAUAAAAUGAAGAUUUAAGCAAACUGAGCAUUUAUUGUGGAAAAUGUUAAACUGCCUAUAAAUUGUUAGCUGAGAAAAGCAAAGUUUAUAAUGCAAUACUGUUAUUGUGUUAGAACAUUGAUAUAUUCAUGUAUAUUUACAUUUCCCUUAGUAUGUUAUUUCACUUAAUAUAAAGUUAUUUUAAACAA